UUGUAACGAUCCGGUUUUGUGAACCGAAGCUGGUUUAAGCUUUCUUUAAUUAUUUGAGAUUAAACCAAACAUUUCCCCAAACCAAGUCUUAUAUAUAUGAUCGUACAUAUCCUCUUCCCUAAUUGAAAAGCCCUAGCCGUAAGAAACCAUCUCCAUUUUCACGAUCUCUCACUCUUUGGUUGCAGCCAUGUAAGAGGAGCUCUGCCAUUGUUGACGCAUCACCACCAUAUCUCUUCUCUGUUGUUAAUGGCUUACCAUCUCUAUGAUUCAAUCUCCACCGAAGAACACAGAUGUAAUCACCAUAUUGGAGCUAGUUGGCUACGUUACGAGAC
rnacentral:lncRNA from 1 species